UGUAAACUUAAAUAAGGGUUUCAGUUUAUUACUUAAAAAAAUUGUUUUGAAGAGGAAAGUUGUAUUGUUAAUAAACUUUACACAAGAAUUAAACUAUAUACGACUUUAAAUAAAAGAAUGUAAAUGCCGAAUGUAUCAACUGAGCUUGCCGUCCUUAAUAUGGAGUGCUUGAAACAGUUCACUUUUGGCAAACUUUAAUCGAGCUGCGGGAGACAAUUUAAUCUACUGGCCACUAUUGAGGAACUUCGAAAAGAGCUAAUGACUGUAAAGUCGAAAGCAAAGGACCUCGAAAUAUGGUCUUCUGUGGAAAUUGAAAAUAAAAAACUUAA